AUCGCCGGCAGGCGGGGGUUUGAUAGAAAGCACCAAGCACAAUGCGCGAGUCGAUGGACAAAAACCGAAUACAAGGCGCGAGCCCCGGACGAGCGGGCAAGGUACCGCGAAGUCCAUAUCCAUCACGCGUGCGAAGCGUAGAUUCGGCGACUGUGCGCGGAAGGCGGCUGAGCU
rfam:Environmental sequence XZS11346.g1, whole genome shotgun sequence.